GGUCCUGCUGGAAAGAAAACAGACCCGACUCUGCAAAACUAACUGCAUAGCUGAGGCCGUUUUGUCUUUACGAAUAUAAUUUAUUCAUCAAGUUUAAAGAAAUCUACAGAUUAGUGGGGAGAGUUGCUGGAUGAAGAGAGAACUUCUGUAAUUAGAAAUUUGAAGAGGGGCACCUGGGUGGCUCAGUCGGUUAAGUAUCCGACUUGAUUUCGGCUCAGGUCAUGAUCUCACGGUUUGUGAGUAUGAGCCCUGAAGUGGGCUCCAUGCUGAAGAAAAAGAAAUCUGAGAAGGAACAAAUCCAAAAUUGCUUACGACAGCCAUGUCCAAAUACCCUACCUCUUCCAUCCACCCGUCUUCUCGGGGAAGCCUCUGCAACCGGUUUCUCGUCAGCUCAAGCUGCAGGCCAUCAAACCUGCACUUAAACCAGCGAUGAGCUUCUUCCAGAUGAGAGAGAUUUCUGAAUGCAGAGCUGAGGGAUGCCUGCAAGCCUGUUGCUUUUUCAUGCAUUUGUUCCUAUUUCUUGGGUGUGACCUAAGGUCUGUUUGUAUACCCUAAUGCCGGUGAUACUCACACCCUGCCCCCCACCAAAGGCAGUGUCCAGCACUCUUUACCAGGAGUGGAGGGAAAGAUGCUUGAAAUGGCCCUGUACAUCCAUCCUAUCUCCUCUUGUUUGGUAAAUGAGAAGGGAGGCACCGUUUACUGAAACUUACUCUGAGCCAUCUAACAGAACAACGGAAAGGUAAGUCUCAAUACCCUGACUUUUCUAGAUGUGGUAACUGAUGAGUUAAAGGAAGUAAAUGUAAAUUCCUUAAGGGCACUGUGUCACAGUGUGACAAACUCAUGUGACAGUGUUCAAACUCAUGUGUGUCUGAGUCCAUAUUCCCUUUAAUAUUCCACUGUGACAGUCAUGUUGUCUUGUAAUUUAGUGGCUGUAAAAGGCACACACAUCAUGACCAACUGACAAAAACAUCACUGUGAUACCUUAGAAGCUGUUUUCCUUAUCUGGAAAAUGAGGAAUGGUUGUGGCAGACCAUGAUUUCAAAGACCCUUUCCAGCUCUAAAAAAUGUAUAAUUUUAAAUACCUUCAAAUAGGCCAAUUUAAGACUAGAGAAAGGAAAAUCACAAAGUAAGAGGGCCUACUCAGGGGACCUGACGGGCUCAGUCUGAAGAGUAUAUGAUUCUCAAUCUCAGGGACAUGAGUUUGAGCCCCACAUUGCAUGUAGAAAUUACCUAAAUUAAAAAAAAAAAA